UACAGAGGGUGCAAGCGUUAAUCGGAAUUACUGGGCGUAAAGCGUGCGCAGGCGGCUUUGCAAGACAGAUGUGAAAUCCCCGGGCUUAACCUGGGAACUGCAUUUGUGACUGCAUGGCUGGAGUGCGGGCAGAGGGGGAUGGAAUUCCGCGUGUAGCAGUGAAAUGCGUAGAUAUGCGGAGGAACACCGAUGGCGAAGGCAAUCCCCUGGGCCUGCACUGACGCUCAUGCACGAAAGCGUGGGGAGCAAACAGG
rnacentral:rRNA from 1 species